UUGGGGUUAAGGUGCAUGUCUACUCCAUGUUGCUAUGUCCCUUUGUUGUGAACUCUGUUGCCUCGGGGCGACUAUGCCUUGGGGCGGGGGCGGCGGGUGGACCUUCAAACUCUUGCGUCCUUUUUGUAAUUGCAAUCCUUAACUAAUACAUAUAAACUUUUAACACUUUAUCCCUUGGAUCUGGCAUCUAUGAACUCCACAACGAAAUGCGAUAAAUGAUGUGAAUUGCGUAAAUUGCUGAAUCAUCGAAUCUUUGAACGCUCUUUGCGCCCCCUGGUAUUCCUGGGGGCAUGCCUGUUCGACCGUCAUUUCACCACUUUGUACUCGCUUCUUUUGGGCAACGCGGUCCCCCCCGUGCCUCAAAUCGACCGGACGGGUCUUCUGUCCCCUAACCGUUGGGGAAACGAUUCCCUAAAGGGUGCUCGGGAGGCUACUCCAUCAACCAAAGCCAUUUCUAAGGUUGACCUUUGAUCAAGUAUGGAUCCCCGAUGAACUUAGGAUUAUCGCUAAACUGAAGAAUAUCAAUAAGCGGAGGAAA
rnacentral:rRNA from 1 species